rnacentral:rRNA from 1 species
AGGUGCGAUCAUACCAGCACUAAUGCACCGGAUCCCAUCAGAACUCCGCAGUUAAGGGUGUUUGGGCGCUAGUAGUACUAGGAUGGGUGACCUCCUGGGAAGUCCUCGUGUUGCACUUC